rnacentral:rRNA from 1 species
AUUGAACGCUGGCGGCAUGCCUUACACAUGCAAGUCGAACGGUAACAGGUCUUCGGAUGCUGACGAGUGGCGAACGGGUGAGUAAUACAUCGGAACGUGCCUAGUAGUGGGGGAUAACUACUCGAAAGAGUGGCUAAUACCGCAUGAGAUCUACGGAUGAAAGCAGGGGAUCGCAAGACCUUGUGCUACUAGAGCGGCCGAUGGCAGAUUAGGUAGCUGGUGGGAUAAAAGCUUACCAAGCCGACGAUCUGUAGCUGGUCUGAGAGGACGAUCAGCCACACUGGGACUGAGACACGGCCCAGACUCCUACGGGAGGCAGCAGUGGGGAAUUUUGGACAACGGGCGAAAGCCUGAUCCAGCAAUGCCGCGUGCAGGAUGAAGGCCUUCGGGUUGUAAACUGCUUUUGUACGGAACGAAAAGCCCCGGGUUAAUACCCUGUGGUCAUGACGGUACCGUAAGAAUAAGCACCGGCUAACUACGUGCCAGCAGCCGCAGUAA